rnacentral:lncRNA from 1 species
ACACACACAAAGACAUACAUACAUACAUACAUACACAGACGCGCGCGCACAUACACACACACAAAUAGACAAAUGCACACAGAGACACACACACAUACACACACAUACACAUAGAGACAGACACACACGCACGCACACACGCACCCUCACACACGCCCACACCCACGCACACAGACACACGAACACAGACAGACACACAGACACACACACACAUGCACACAAGCACACGUAGACACACAUACACACACAUGCACACGUGUACACAGAGACACACGCACAGACAUAGACACGCUCACACAGAGGCGCGCAUACACACACAUGCACACGCAGACACACACACACACACACGCGCACACAGACACAUGCACAUGCACGCUCACACAUAGACACGCUCAC